CAAUUCGACCAAUUUGGCUGUGGCGACUGCGGAGGAGUGAGCCGGUGCAUUGUGAGCAAUCGCGGUACCCAUCCGACAGCUUUUUCAUUCCCAAGUUAUCAUGCAAAAUAUUGAAUGAAUCACUCUGAAAUUUUGUAUGGCGUCACUUGAAAGAUGGUAGUACACGAUGGUGCCAACGUCGAUGGAUCAGCAACAUCGCCUGUCUAGAAACACAGGCGCUUAAUAAUGAUGCAUGGUUGCAUCAUUCAAUUAGUCAACUGCUUGCGUUUCUCAAAGUAGUGAAGAUUGACCACCUCUCAUGGAAACAUUAAAAAUAAGGAAAUCAUGCGAAUAUCUAAAGAUCCAACAAUGUCCAUAGCUACUUUGUUGAAAGAAGCUCCAGGGCAGCGAUCACAUAAUUUUUCCCUAGGGUGGAAAUGUGAAAAGUGAAAAAUUUUACGCGAAUUCGAGAAUUUUUGCAAUCAUGCAACUUUUUGAACUGUGGAAAUAUAAAACUUUCCACGUGAACUUUUUCACCUUGAAAGUUGAUGGCGAAAUGGCGAAAAUGUAGUGAAAAUAAUAACAUGGCUGCAGCAUAGUGGGUACUUCAACUUGAACAUAAUGAAAAACAUAUACUUAAAAUACGUAGAAGAGAAUUACAAGAUUUAAAUAAUCCUUUUGAGAUCUCGAAACCUCAAUUUAUGGCUUUAUAUCGGUUCUGGAUUAAUACUAACUUUCCUGGAAUAAUAGAUAAACGCUAUAGAUGGGACAUAUGUAAUAAUAUGGUCACCAGAGAAAACACCUAGAGAACACCUUUAUAUUAAUAGAAAACUUUCAUCCUUUAAAUGUUAUGAUAAUCAGUGACUAUUAUGGAAUAAUAUUGGCAAGUUGUCAAGUCAUAGUGGCCGCAUGAUUCCAAAGUUUGGAAUUCCUCUCGAUUAUCCAGAUACAUGUUAAACAAAUAUCAAAAUGGUAGAAGAAAUGUAUGGCUAUUAGAUAAAAUUGUGGAAAAUGAGAGCAACCAUUGAUGACCUUGACCUUGACAAUAUAUCUAGUCUAUACAUAUCUAGUCUAGCCGAAAAAUUCAAUAUUCCUGUCAACGACGUAUAUAGAGAUGAAAAUAUUGAAGAAGAAUUAGAACCUAUUUUGAACAAUAAUUUACAUGCAAGAGGAAAUGAAGUGCGAGAAAGAAUAAUACUACAAUAUUUCACAUAAUAACUUUAUUUUUUAAGAAACCAUGUAACAUAGAUGUAUUACUUGAAAUUGUAUUUUCUCACUUAAAAAUAAAACUAACAAGAAAUGUUAUCUUUAAUA